CUGGCUCAGGAUUAACGCUGGCGGCAUGCCUAAUACAUGCAAGUCGAAUGGAAGAGCUUGCUUUCCAUGGCGAACGGGUGAGUAACACGUAGGUAACCUACCUUAAGGACGAGGAUAACCUUUGGAAACGAAGGAUAAUACUGGAUAGGACAUCAUAAAACACAUGUUUAGAUGUUUAAAGGAGCAAUCCACCAUAAGAGGGGCCUGCGGCGCAUUAGCUAGUUGGUGAGAUAAAGGCCCACCAAGGCGAUGAUGCGUAGCCGGACUGAGAGGUUGAACGGCCACAAUGGGACUGAGAACGGCCCAUACUCCUACGGGAGGCAGCAGUAGGGAAUUUUCGGCAAUGGACAAAAGUCUGACCGAGCAAUGCCCGCGUGAUCGAAGAAGUAUUUCGGUAUGUAAAGAUCUUUUAUCAGGGAAGAAAAGACAGAUUGACUGAACCUGAUGAAUAAGCUCCGGCUAACUACGUGCCAGCCGCCGC
rnacentral:rRNA from 1 species